GGCGCCCUGGCGGAGUGGUUACGCAGCGGCCUGCAAAGCCGUUUACACCGGUUCGAUUCCGGUGGGCGCCU
rnacentral:tRNA from 1 species